GACGAACGCUGGCGGCGUGCUUAACACAUGCAAGUCGAACGGAAAGGCCCUGCUUUUGUGGGGUGCUCGAGUGGCGAACGGGUGAGUAACACGUGAGUAACCUGCCCUUGACUUUGGGAUAACAUCAGGAAACUGGGGCUAAUACCGGAUAGGAGCUCCUGCUGCAUGGUGGGGGUUGGAAAGUUUCGGCGGUUGGGGAUGGACUCGCGGCUUAUCAGCUUGUUGGUGGGGUAGUGGCUUACCAAGGCUUUGACGGGUAGCCGGCCUGAGAGGGUGACCGGCCACAUUGGGACUGAGAUACGGCCCAGACUCGUACGGGAGGCAGCAGUGGGGAGUAUUGCACAAUGGGCGGAAGCCUGAUGCAGCAACGCCGCGUGCGGGAUGACGUCCUUCGGGUUGUAAACAGCUUUCGCCUGUGACGAAGCGUUAGUGACGGUAAUGAGUAAAGAAGCACCGGCUAACUACGUG
rnacentral:rRNA from 1 species